CUUUAAAACUCAUAUGAAGUAAGUGUUUUAAAGUGACUUAGCUUUUAAAUAAAUUAAAACAGCAUGAUCAAUAGUGUGAUAGAAUUCGCUUUUAAACGUUUUAAAUUUAAAAGAGACUAAACAACAGGAAAAACAACAACUCAACAGUGUGGAAUGAAUGUGUCAGGUUAAAAACUUAAUCUUUUAGAUUAUCUGAAAUUAAAUACGAAGAUAUUCUACAUACAUUUGUUGAUUAAAAAACAUUACAUAGGCCUACAUAAAAUUACAUGUGUCCUGCUGAUAUAUUAGCAUGGUGCCAGAAAAUUACUACUUUACAUAGACAUUUGCUGCUGAUUUUCAUGCUUAUGUUUUUUUUUUUUUAAUAAUGUGCAUAGUCUAAUCAUAAUAUCAUAAUAUGUUUGUGUAUGUAUUUAAAAUCUCUUAUGGUAUGGAAACUACAUGUGUGCACUGGGUGUGUUUUUCCAUUCAGGUGGAACUGAAUUGAAUGUAUGUGUUGAGGUGAGAGGUGAGGUUGCUGAGGUGUUUGUGUUAUGAAAACAACAGGGCCGCUUGUCCCCGACGGGCCACAGACAUGUUUUGACAGUCAGGGUACACCAGGCUGUACACGAGGGUCCCGGGCAGUCUGGGGACAACAAUCCUCCGUUUUAAAUGUCUCACACAGCCACUGCCCCCUUUAUCACUGUCCUUUCUGACCCCACCCCAGCCUGCACCUAUGGCCUCUCCCGCACUCCCGCCAAGCUGACUAACUCGACCCCCACCCGGAGCAUGGGCCUCGGGCCCGUGCUGCCCCUCACGAGCUUUGAGAACGUGCUGUACUUCUUGUUCAGCGUGCUGCUGGCCACGGUCAUCGUGUUCCUCAACGCGUCCGUGUUCUCCUCCAUCCUGCUGUGCCGCUCGCUGCGCGCGGAGAACCGUUGCAUGUACAUGCUCAGCACGUGCCUGAGCGACGUGUGCUCGGGGGUCGCCUACUAUUACUGCGGCGCGCUGGACGUGCGCGACAGCUACGACUCGCCCACGCGCACCUUCUACAUCGCGCCCACCUUCCUGGGCCUGUCCUACAUGGCCAUCCUGGCGGCGCAGGCGGACCGAUACCACGCGGUCACCUCGCCCCUCCGGUACGCGCUGCGCAUGUCCCGCGGGCGCACGCUGGCCGUCAUAGCCGCCUACUGGCUCUAUGCCUUCGUCAUCGUGGCCGUUAACAACCUGGUGACGGUGGGCAUCGCCAAGAGUGUGACGAGCAUCGGUACGUUCGUGGGCAACAUCUUCACCGUCAUCAUCAUGAUCGGCCUCAACGUGCGCCUCUUCUUCAUCGCCAAGUACCAGCUGGAGCGCGAGCCCCCCACCGCCGAGCGCGAGAGCAAGCGCGCCUCCAUCUAUCUGAUCGUGGUGGUGGCCGUGUGCUUCCUCAUCGCCUGGCUGCCCAUCUUCCUGCACAUCAUCGUCUGCAACUUCACGGGCACCACCUGCUACUCGUUCCGCAACGAGGGCACCGACCCGCUGCGCCUGCUGCCGCGCCUCAACGCUGUCCUCACCCCCGUCCUCUACAUCAGAGGCUGCGCAGCGCUCAAACACACGCUGCUUACCAGGGUGUGGAGGGCGAGCUGCUGCAGGGCCAAGGGAGUUAAUCCUGUGGAAAGAUCCAUUGCACCCAGUGGUCAAGUCACAUCCGUGUGCAAGAACUGACCUGCCCCAGCAGAUGUUCCACCACAGGAAACUGGGCUUUACUGAGUACUGAGUACAAAUGUCAUGUGUUUGUAAAUAUCAUAUUAAAUAACCACGUGUUUAAAAAUAAAUCUAUAUAAAUUAUAAUUCUGUACA
ensembl:lncRNA